rnacentral:rRNA from 1 species
AGUGAACGCUGGCGGUAGGCCUAACACAUGCAAGUCGAACGGCAGCACAGUAAGAGCUUGCUCUUACGGGUGGCGAGUGGCGGACGGGUGAGGAAUACAUCGGAAUCUACUUUUUCGUGGGGGAUAACGUAGGGAAACUUACGCUAAUACCGCAUACGACCUGCGGGUGAAAGCAGGGGAUCUUCGGACCUUGCGCGAGUGAAUGAGCCGAUGUCGGAUUAGCUAGUUGGCGGGGUAAAGGCCCACCAAGGCGACGAUCCGUAGCUGGUCUGAGAGGAUGAUCAGCCACACUGGAACUGAGACACGGUCCAGACUCCUACGGGAGGCAGCAGUGGGGAAUAUUGGACAAUGGGCGCAAGCCUGAUCCAGCCAUACCGCGUGGGUGAAGAAGGCCUUCGGGUUGUAAAGCCCCUUUGUUGGGAAAGAAAAGCAGCAGGUUAAUACCCCGCUGUUCUGACGGUACCCAAAGAAUAAGCACCGGCUAACUUCGUG